rnacentral:rRNA from 1 species
CCUACGGGUGGCAGCAGUGAGGAAUAUUGGUCAAUGGACGAGAGUCUGAACCAGCCAAGUAGCGUGAAGGAUGACUGCCCUAUGGGUUGUAAACUUCUUUUAUAUGGGAAUAAAAUGGUCCACGUGUGGGAUUUUGUCUGUACCGUAUGAAUAAGGAUCGGCUAACUCCGUGCCAUCAGCCGCGGUAAUACGGAGGAUCCGAGCGUUGUCCGGAUUUAUUGGGUUUAAAGGGAGCGUAGGUGGGUUGUUAAGUCAGUUGUGAAAGUUUGCGGCUCAACCGUAAAAGUGCAGUGGAAACUGGCAGUCUUGAGUACAGUAGAGGUGGGCGGAAUUCGAGGUGUAGCGGUGAAAUGCUUAGAUAUAACGAAGAACUCCGGUUGCGAAGGCAGUUCACUGGACUGCAACUGACACUGAGGCUCGAAAGUGUGGGUAUCAAACAGGAUUAGAUACCCGGGUAGUC